GAAGUUGAGAGAUAUGCAGCACGUUUCCUUUUUUCUUUGUUCAUGCAGCGUCGCUUUUAAUAGAGACUUGAAACGCGUUAGGGUUUUGUUUCGAUUGCGAGUGUGGGGGAAUCAAUUGCUGUCGUGAAAGGGUGGACUUCCUGACGCGUAGGUGUAGAUGGCGAGAACUUUCUGCUUUGGAUAUCGACGGUGUGGUUCAUGCGUUUUCUUGGGUUCUUGUUGUAAUGGAGUUUGAAGACAACACAGUUUAGUGAAAGUGAAAUUGAAGACAACGGUGCGGUCCUAGGAAAAGGUGCUCCAUUUAGGGAUUGGUGCAGACUUUAAGAGCAAUGAGAGUUGGUGAUGAAAAUCGAUUCUGCUUGAGACACUUGUAUUAAAAUUUCAAGAAAAAGUUUGGUGGAGGCACACAUUUGAGAGACCUAAUGAUAGGGGUGGCUAAAGCAGAUGCAAGCACAAUUGCUAAUAGGAACCAAGUUGAUGAGAACCAAGAUGCUUCUGUUUCCAACCAAGGUCCGUUGGGUCAGUGACAAAUGUCUGAAAAUGAUUCUUCUGCCAAUGUCGAAAAAACUCAGGUAAAUAACAAGAGAAAAAAUGCGACAACAUGAAAGAAUGAUAAGGGAAAAAAUGUUCCAACUACUAGUAAGGCUUCAACAACAUCAAAUGACAAUAGGGAAAAAAACACAAACUUCUACAACAACACCAAAGACUAGGAAGCAAAUGACAACUACUAUCCAAAAAACCAUACUUUUGUCCAAAGAAACCCAAUUGCACCAACCAAUAGAAAGGCUAACUCAAUACCAUCAACUAACUUAGCACCAUCACCAUUUGUAUCUUCAUCAACACCAAUCCCCAACAAGCUUCAACCACCAUCAUCAACCAUUUUUGGAGAAGCACCAAAAACCAGGAAGCAAAUGAGACCACCUGUUCAGAAUGUAUUUCCUAAGAAAAUAUGGUGAAACCAACAAGGUAGAUGUUAAAGUUCAGCCUAAAGCCCAAGCUUUUAAGCCUCCAAGACCAACCAAUAAGGUAUCUACACAAGAUUGAAUCUGUCUCAAGAAGUCACCAACAAUUCAAAAAAGUCACCAUGAAAGAUUUAGUUUGUUAAUGUGUGCUUAUUUAGUCCCAUAUUUAUGUAUGUAAAGUGCCUUUGAGAAAUUGGUUUUUGAGACACCAUGUUUAAUCACAAGUUUAUGUAUGUAUAGUGCCUUUGAGACACUAUUUUUUGAGACACCGUAUUUAGUCCCAAGUUUAUGUAUGUAAAGUUCUGUUUA